UACAGAGGGUGCUAGCGUUGUUCGGAAUUACUGGGCGUAAAGCGCGCGUAGGCGGACCUGCAAGUCGGGGGUGAAAGCCCGAGGCUCAACCUCGGAACUGCCUUCGAUACUGCGGGUCUCGAGUCCGGGAGAGGUGAGUGGAAUUCCUAGUGUAGAGGUGAAAUUCGUAGAUAUUAGGAAGAACACCAGUGGCGAAGGCGGCUCACUGGCCCGGUACUGACGCUGAGGUGCGAAAGCGUGGGGAGCAAACAGG
rnacentral:rRNA from 1 species